GACAGUGUAGUGUAGUGGUUUGAGUGUCAGACUAUGACUGUGGAGACCAGAGUUCAAUUCCUGCUCAGCCA